rnacentral:rRNA from 1 species
CGUAGGGUGCAAGCGUUAAUCGGAAUUACUGGGCGUAAAGCGUGCGCAGGCGGUUUUGUAAGUCUGAUGUGAAAUCCCCGGGCUCAACCUGGGAAUUGCAUUGGAGACUGCAAGGCUAGAAUCUGGGCAGAGGGGGGUAGAAUUCCACGUGUAGCAGUGAAAUGCGUAGAUAUGUGGAGGAACACCGAUGGCGAAGGCAGCCCCCUGGGUCAAGAUUGACGCUCAUGCACGAAAGCGUGGGGAGCAAACAGGAUUAGAUACCCUGGUAGUCCACGCCCUAAACGAUGUCUACUAGUUGUCGGGUCUUAAUUGACUUGGUAACGCAGCUAACGCGUGAAGUAGACCGCCUGGGGAGUACGGUCGCAAGAUUA